rnacentral:rRNA from 1 species
UUCCGGUUGAUCCUGGCAGAGGUCACUGCUAUCGGGGUUCGAUUAAGCCAUGCGAGUCGAGAGGGUUCGGCCCUCGGCGUACUGCUCAGUAACACGUGGAUAACCUGCCCUAGGGAAGGGGAUAACCCCGGGAAACUGGGGAUAAUACCCUAUAGGUUACAGAUGCUGGAAUGCUCUGUAACCCAAAGUUCCGGCGCCCUAGGAUGGAUCUGCGGCCGAUUAGGUUGUUGUUGGGGUAAUGCCCAACAAGCCAGUAAUCGGUACGGGUUGUGGGAGCAAGAGCCCGGAGUUGGAUUCUGAGACACGAAUCCAGGCCCUACGGGGCGCAGCAGGCGCGAAAACUUUACAAUGCGGGCAACCGUGAUAAGGGAACCUCGAGUGCCUGUAAAUGCAGGCUGUUUAGGUGUUUAAAA